UGUUCGUCCCUCGCGACGGUAGGUUGGAAACCCCGCCAGGCCCGGAAGGGAGCAACGGUACCAACUGAUUCGUGCGCCGAGACCAGGCGGGCGGGG
rnacentral:SRP_RNA from 1 species